rnacentral:rRNA from 1 species
AGUGAACGCUGGCGGUAGGCCUAACACAUGCAAGUCGAACGGCAGCACAGUAAGAGCUUGCUCUUACGGGUGGCGAGUGGCGGACGGGUGAGGAAUACAUCGGAAUCUACUUUUUCGUGGGGGAUAACGUAGGGAAACUUACGCUAAUACCUCAUACGACCUACGGGUGAAAGCAGGGGAUCUUCGGACCUUGCGCGAUUGAAUGAGCCGAUGUCGGAUUAGCUAGUUGGCGGGGUAAAGGCCCACCAAGGCGACGAUCCGUAGCUGGUCUGAGAGGAUGAUCAGCCACACUGGAACUGAGACACGGUCCAGACUCCUGCGGGAGGCAGCAGUGGGGAAUAUUGGACAAUGGGCGCAAGCCUGAUCCAGCCAUACCGCGUGGGUGAAGAAGGCCUUCGGGUUGUAAAGCCCUUUUGUUGGGAAAGAAAAGCAGCAGGUUAAUACCCCGCUGUUCUGACGGUACCCAAAGAAUAAGCACCGGCUAACUUCGUG